rnacentral:rRNA from 1 species
UAGACGCUGGCGGCAGGCUUAACACAUGCAAGUCGAACGGUAGCAGGUAAGUACUUGUACUUAUGCUGACGAGUGGCGGACGGGUGAGUAAUGCUUGGGGAUCUGGCUUAUGGAAGGGNGAUAACGACGGNAAAACUGUCGCUAAUACCGCGUAGAAUUGAGAGAUGAAAGUGUGGGACCUUCGGGCCACAUGCCAUAGGAUGAACCCAAGUGGGAUUAGGUAGUUGGUAGGGUAAUGGCCUACCAAGCCGACGAUCUCUAGCUGGUCUGAGAGGAUGACCAGCCACACCGGGACUGAGACAUUNCCCGGACUCCUACGGGAGGCAGCAGUGGGGAAUAUUGCGCAAUGGGGGGAACCCUGACGCAGCCAUGCCGCGUGAAUGAAGAAGGCCUUCGGGUUGUAAAGUUCUUUCGGUGACGAGGAAGGUUGUUGUGUUAAUAGCGCAACAAAUUGACGUUAAUCACAGAAGAAGCACCGGCUAACUCCGUGCCAGCAGCCGCGGUAAUACGGAGGGUGCGAGCGUUAAUCGGAAUAACUGGGCGUAAAGGGCACGCAGGCGGACUUUUAAGUGAGGUGUGAAAUCCCCGGGCUUANCCUGGGAAUUGCAUUUCAGACUGGGGGUCU